rnacentral:lncRNA from 1 species
CUCAGCCAUGUGCCAGAAUCAAGGCCUGAGCAGGCUCUCUGAGCUUUAUUGUCAACUUUAAAUGAUAAGAUAACAGCAGCUUCCUAGAAGAUUGCUUUAAGAAUUGCAGAUUAAUCAUGCAGGUAUGGUCAAGAGAGACACUGGAAGAUGGAAGUUACUUCAGUGUUCCAGUUGCUGGUGUAGCCAGGGCUUCACAGAAUUUGUCACAGGUGGUUUCCUUUGACCCUUGAAACACUUCCAGGACCCAGUUUUUAUCUUAUAG